CAUUAAUGAAAUGAAUGUCGAAAAAGGGUUGUAGCUGGCCUCUUGAGGUAUGUGCACACCUUUAUCGCGCAUCCACAUCUCACACCUGUGCACAACCUGUAGCUUGGGAUGAUUACAAUCCUGGAAACGGUUAUUGAAAGCCCUUGCUAUGAAUUUUUAUACAACCGUAUUAAAAGUUAUAGAAUGUUAUAGCGUGUAACAGCGCAAAUAAAUAUACAACUUUCAGCAACGGAUCUCUUGGCUCUCGCAUCGAUGAAGAACGCAGCGAAAUGCGAUAAGUAAUGUGAAUUGCAGAAUUCAGUGAAUCAUCGAAUCUUUGAACGCACCUUGCGCUCCUUGGUAUUCUGAGGAGCAUGCCUGUUUGAGUGUCAUGAAACUCUCAACUGCUUUAGCUUUUUAUGGUUGAAGUGAAGUUGGAUUUGGAGGAAAUUUAUCAUUGCUGGCGUGACCUUUUCAGGUUGCUUGUUAGCUCCUCUUAAAUGGAUGAACUUUCCAGUAGUAAAAUAACACCAAUGUGAUAAUUAUCUACAUUGGAUGGGCUUUUUUACGAGGAAAGAUAAAUCUGUCUUGAAGGCAAAAAACCUCUUGACAAAACAAAUGACAAAUUUGACCUCAAAUCAGGUAGGACUACCCGCUGAACUUAA
rnacentral:rRNA from 1 species